GACAGAAUUCUGCUGGCUGUACCGCUGUGUCUGUGGUCUCACUGGUGAAGGAGGGAGGACCCCAAGGUUUGUUGUCCAAUAAAUGCCUGAGUAAAAAUAAGCAAACAAUUGUGAUAUUGAGAGGUAGCUUUGGGUUGGGGCCCUUGGAGUGUGAAGACGACUGACGCUGUUAAGAGCUUCCUGCCCACAAGGGAACGGGUCAGUUCUGUACCAGUAACAUGGACAAUUGACAUGUUAAAUCGCCAUUUUAAAAACAAACCGACAAGUCCUCGAUGGAAUGGUCGAUCUGUACAUUUGACUUUAGAUUGACACAACUAGACAAUCAAACUGUUCUCAAACUAGCAGCGUAUCAUUUGACCGCCACCAACACAGCUUGUCUUUUCUUUCCAGGUGAGAUACGAUGGAGACUUCUUCUCUGCAGACGCCAACCAGAUCAUAAGUCUGCCAGUGGACACCCCUCUAUGCCCCACAGAAUACUGACCAAAAGGCGCAGUUGUGUAGCAGUUGAGUAUUGCUGGUUAGCUGUUAAGGUGCGAUGCAGUGCUGAUGGUGAGGUGGCAGUGCAGUGGCUGGCGGGGGGUGUUGCGGUACCCUGUGAGUGCCCGGUGCAGUUGUCGCCCGGCGCUCGUCUUGGUGCUACUGCUGCCGUUUGCCUUGUUCUGGUUUGUAAGAGUCAAUUACAGCUGUGGUGGUAGAUCUGAUCACGCCAUCUCUCCCCCUGUGUUGUUCUCAAAUGGUCUCUUCCCAUUCCUGAUGUACAGAUACACUCCUUUUUCCCAUUCUCUCUCUCCCAACCCUAGCCUGGUGGAAACAGCCUGAUCGCUGCGUUUAACGUUUGUUCGAUCAAGCUUGUUCCACCAGCCUAUCCCAAACCCCCCUCCAACUGUGGUUUAGUCCCUCUGUUGUGAGCUGGUUGUACAUUGUUGAUGGAAAAGGCUCGAUAGGGGAGGGUUUGAUGAAGGGCAUUCCACUAGCUUAACAAAUGAAUCUGUGGAUUUUGUGUACCCUCGCAAGAUUUCUUGUAACUGCUUUAGGUGAAUGCUAAUAAACAUUUGUGGUUAAUUUGAUUCACUGUUUUGUUACAAGAUCUGCCCUAACAGUCCUUGAGCCCAUCGGUAAUGGCUCCUUCACACUGAUAGCCGAUACCCAUUAAGUGAUUUUCAAACUAGAUUCCUCAUGAGUUGUUACAGCAUACUACAAUUUUAUCAAUUCUACACUUCUGAAAAUGGAAAAACAUGUUUGUAAUAUUAUUUAGUCAGUGAUUGUAUUGCUACACCUUGAAUGAAGCUGAUGGCCAUAUUUACCAAGUAUGUGUCUGCUUUAAUAUUCGGCAUCGGCUCUCCUUUUUGCUCAUCUUCCAUUAAACACAAAGUCUAC
ensembl:lncRNA